rnacentral:rRNA from 1 species
GAAUUUUGGACAAUGGGCGAAAGCCUGAUCCAGCAAUGCCGCGUGCAGGAUGAAGGCCUUCGGGUUGUAAACUCCUUUCGACAGGGACGAAGCGUUAUCGUGACGGUACCUGUAGAAGAAGCACCGGCUAACUACGUGCCAGCAGCCGCGGUAAUACGUAGGGUGCAAGCGUUAAUCGGAAUUACUGGGCGUAAAGCGUGCGCAGGCGGUUUUGUAAGACAGAGGUGAAAUCCCCGGGCUCAACCUGGGAACUGCCUUUGUGACUGCAAGGCUAGAGUACGGCAGAGGGGGGUGGAAUUCCGCGUGUAGCAGUGAAAUGCGUAGAUAUGCGGAGGAACACCGAUGGCGAAGGCAACCCCCUGGGCCUGUACUGACGCUCAUGCACGAAAGCAUGGGUAGCGAAC